rnacentral:rRNA from 1 species
UACGAGGGGGGCGAGCGUUGUUCGGAAUUAUUGGGCGUAAAGGGCGCGUAGGCGGUUGGAUAAGUCUCGUGUGAAAUCUUCGGGCUCAACUCGAAGUCUGCACGAGAAACUAUCUGGCUUGAGUGUGGGAGAGGUGAGUGGAAUUCCUGGUGUAGCGGUGAAAUGCGUAGAUAUCAGGAGGAACACCUGUGGCGAAAGCGGCUCACUGGACCACAACUGACGCUGAGGCGCGAAAGCUAGGGGAGCAAACAGG